rnacentral:tRNA from 1 species
CGGGGAGUAGCGCAGCCCGGUAGCGCAAUUGCUUUGGGAGCAAUGGGUCGCUGGUUCAAAUCCAGUCUCCCUGACCA